AUUGAACGCUGGCGGAAUGCUUUACACAUGCAAGUCGAACGAUGAUUUCUAGCUUGCUAGAAUGAUUAGUGGCGAACGGGUGAGUAAUGUAUCGGAACGUAUCCAAUAAUGGGGGAUAACUAAUCGAAAGGUUGGCUAAUACCGCAUACGCCCUACGGGGGAAAGCAGGGGAUCUUCGGACCUUGCGUUAAUGGAGCGGCCGAUAUCUGAUUAGCUAGUUGGUGAGGUAAAAGCUCACCAAGGCGACGAUCAGUAGCUGGUCUGAGAGGACGACCAGCCACACUGGAACUGAGACACGGUCCAGACUCCUACGGGAGGCAGCAGUGGGGAAUUUUGGACAAUGGGCGAAAGCCUGAUCCAGCCAUUCCGCGUGAGUGAAGAAGGCCUUCGGGUUGUAAAGCUCUUUCGCAAGGGAAGAAACGAUGCAGUCGAAUAAACUGUGUUAAUGACGGUACCUUGAUAAGAAGCACCGGCUAACUACGUG
rnacentral:rRNA from 1 species